rnacentral:rRNA from 1 species
GAUGAACGCUGGCGGCGUGCCUAAUACAUGCAAGUCGAGCGAACGGACGAGAAGCUUGCUUUUCUGAUGUUAGCGGCGGACGGGUGAGUAACACGUGGAUAACCUACCUAUAAGACUGGGAUAACUUCGGGAAACCGGAGCUAAUACCGGAUAAUAUUUUUAACGGCAUGGUUCAAAAGUGAAAUACGUUCUUGCUGUCACUUAUAGAUGGAUCCGCGCUGCUUUAGCUAUUUGGUAAGGUAACGGCUUACCAAGGCAACGAUGCAUAGCCGACCUGAGAGGGUGAUCGGCCACACUGGGACUGAGACACGGUCCAGACUCCUACGGGAGGCAGCAGUAGGGAAUCUUCCGCGAUGGGCGAAAGCCUGACGGAGCAACGCCGCGUGAGUGAUGAAGGUCUUCGGAUCGUAAAACUCUGUUAUUAGGGAAGACCAUAUGUGUAAGUAACUGUGCACAUCUUGACGGUACCUAAUCAGAAAGCCACGGCUAACUACGUG